ACGAACGCUGGCGGCGUGGAUAAGACAUGCAAGUCGAACGGGAGAAUUGCUAGCUUGCUAAUAAUUCUCUAGUGGCGCACGGGUGAGUAACACGUGAGUAACCUGCCUCUUAGUGGGGGAUAGCCCUGGGAAACCGGGAUUAAUACCGCAUACGAUUGAAAGAUCAAAGCAGCAAUGCGCUAGGAGAUGGGCUCGCGGCCUAUUAGUUAGUUGGUGAGGUAACGGCUCACCAAGGCGAUGACGGGUAGCCGGUCUGAGAGGAUGUCCGGCCACACUGGAACUGAGACACGGUCCAGACACCUACGGGUGGCAGCAGUCGAGAAUCAUUCACAAUGGGGCAACCCUGAUGGUGCGACGCCGCGUGGGGGAAUGAAGGUCUUCGGAUUGUAAACCCCUGUCAUGUGGGAGCAAAUUAAAAAGAUAGUACCACAAGAGGAAGAGACGGCUAACUCUGUGCCAGCAGCCGCGGUAAUACAGAGGUCUCAAGCGUUGUUCGGAAUCACUGGGCGUAAAGCGUGCGUAGGCUGUUUCGUAAGUCGUGUGUGAAAGGCAGGGGCUCAACCCCUGGAUUGCACAUGAUACUGCGAGACUAGAGUAAUGGAGGGGGAACCGGAAUUCUCGGUGUAGCAGUGAAAUGCGUAGAUAUCGAGAGGAACACUCGUGGCGAAGGCGGGUUCCUGGACAUUAACUGACGCUGAGGCACGAAGGCCAGGGGAGCGAAAGGGAUUAGAUACCCCUGUAGUCCUGGCAGUAAACGGUGCACGCUUGGUGUGCGGGGAAUCGACCCCCUGCGUGCCGGAGCUAACGCGUUAAGCGUGCCGCCUGGGGAGUACGGUCGCAAGAUUAAAACUCAAAGAAAUUGACGGGGACCCGCACAAGCGGUGGAGUAUGUGGCUUAAUUCGAUGCAACGCGAAGAACCUUACCUGGGCUUGACAUGUAAUGAACAACAUGUGAAAGCAUGCGACUCUUCGGAGGCGUUACACAGGUGCUGCAUGGCCGUCGUCAGCUCGUGUCGUGAGAUGUUUGGUUAAGUCCAGCAACGAGCGCAACCCCUGUUGCCAGUUACCAGCACGUCAAGGUGGGGACUCUGGCGAGACUGCCCAGAUCAACUGGGAGGAAGGUGGGGACGACGUCAGGUCAGUAUGGCCCUUAUGCCCAGGGCUGCACACGUACUACAAUGCCCAGUACAGAGGGGGCCGAAGCCGCGAGGCGGAGGAAAUCCUGAAAACUGGGCCCAGUUCGGACUGUAGGCUGCAACCCGCCUACACGAAGCCGGAAUCGCUAGUAAUGGCGCAUCAGCUACGGCGCCGUGAAUACGUUCCCGGGUCUUGUACACACCGCCCGUCACAUCAUGGAAGCCGGUCGCACCCGAAGUAUCUGAAGCCAACCGCAAGGAGGCAGGGUCCUAAGGUGAGACUGGUAACUGGGAUG
rnacentral:rRNA from 1 species